GAGCGGUAACAGGUGUAGCAAUACAUGCUGACGAGCGGCGAACGGGUGAGUAAUGCUUCGGAAUCUGCCCAAUGGUGGGGAAUAACCAGCCGAAAGGUUGGCUAAUACCGCAUAAGUCCUACGGGGGAAAGCAGGGGAUCGCAAGACCUUGCGCCGAUGGAUGAGCCGAAGUCGGAUUAGCUAGUUGGUAGGGUAACGGCCUACCAAGGCGACGAUCCGUAGCUGGUCUGAGAGGACGACCAGCCACACUGGGACUGAGACACGGCCCAGACUCCUACGGGAGGCAGCAGUGGGGAAUAUUGGACAAUGGGGGAAACCCUGAUCCAGCGACGCCGCGUGUGUGAAGAAGGCCUGCGGGUUGUAAAGCACUUUUAGUGGGGAUGAAAAGCUCAGGGGCUACACCUCUGGGUCUUGACCUAACCCACAGAAAAAGCACCGGCUAACUCUGUG
rnacentral:rRNA from 1 species